CCCAGUGUGGGGUAGGAAGGGCACAGGUAAAGGGAUAAAGGAACCCCACAUCUUUUCUCAUCUACAAACCUUGUGAAUUUUUGUACCUUGGGCGUGUAUUACCUAGUCAAAAUUAAAUACAUAAAUAAAACUGAUGAUUACAAGACAAAAUAAAAUGGAGAGAUCGAGGUUGAAUAAAAUGAUUUCUAGAUGUAGCGAUAAAAUCAGAAGGUACAGCCCACGCUAUGGGAGGGGAAGAGCCAGUGGGAUAUGGAUACAGUAGGUUUUCUGUUGGGAGUCUGUUUGGACUACAGUGUCUGAUUUAAAGAAAAAAGCCAAAUGGUAUUUUGAUAAGAUUUAAACAUUUUCUGUUUCUGAAAUCCAGGUUCUGGGGCUGGAGGGGUAAGCAAGGUUCCCAGCUCCCAGCUCCUAUCUCCCAAGCAGGAUUUAACACCACAGCUGGAAACAAAUUGGAGAACCCCUACCCGCCCACCUCUUUCAGUGAGAGAGAGGCAGGACCCCUUCCUCAUCCUGGCUGGGAGUCAACAGAUAAAUGCAGGAAAGGAUUAUUACUGAGAGAAGCAACAGCGUCCGAAGUGGUUGCCUUGAGAGUGGGAUUUGGGGGCGGGUCAGGAUUGCUUUCUAUUGUAAGCCUAUUUUACUUUCUAAAAUCGUGACACGUAAAUGCAGAGAACACAUCUCUGUGCUGGUUGCGAAACAAUUAUAAAGCCAACACGUGUUGCGUCCCAAGUUUGGUCACUUUCAAAAAAAAGAAAAGCACGUGCACGCAUUACUGAUUGUAAAAAAGAACGGGGAAGGAAAGGGAAAUUCCAGGUGGGAGCUGGGUUCUCCUUUCACCGCAAGACCGAGCCUAGAUCUGAAAGGAUAGUUUGGAAACUCCUUCCUGCGAAUGUCUGAUCCCAGAUUGGCAAGGGCAGAGCACCACUAGAUUCUGUCUUCUCACUGCUGGGAGACAAAUGGGGAGACAAAUGGACCCAGCAAGGAACAGCAACAGGCCAAGGUUAUUUGGAACUCCAGAGGACAGCCGAAGCAGCAGAAGCCCCACUUAACAGGUAAGGGAACAGAAGACCCAGAGAGGUUGAGUCACUGGCACAAAGGAACAGCCAGGAAACUGUGGGGCCAGGAUUUGACUUCCAGCUGCCUCAGGGGCCAGGUGUAGACAGCUGCCUUUCCUGCUGUUCAUCCUCUGUAGAUGCAGCAACUGAGGAACAGGGACGUUAAGCCACCUGCCACACGCAGCUAUUUAAGUACUAGAACCAAGACUGGAAUCAGGGUGCUGCAGCCCCCAGGUGCACAUCGCCAA